rnacentral:hammerhead_ribozyme from 1 species
AUCCAGCUGACGAGUCUCAAAUAGGACGAAGCGCGCGUCCUGGAU